rnacentral:rRNA from 1 species
AGAGUUUGAUCCUGGCUCAGAACGAACGCUGGCGGCGUGCUUAACACAUGCAAGUCGCGUGCGCGGUUCCGUAGCAAUACGGGAUGGGCGCACGGCGCACGGGUGCGUAACACGUGGGCAAUCUGCCCUCCGAUGGGGAAUAACCCCGCGAAAGCGGGGCUAAUACCACAUAACAUUCCUUGGACUAUGGUUUGAGGACUCAAAGCAGCAAUGCGUCGGAGGAGGAGCCCGCGCCCGAUUAGCUAGUUGGUGAGGUAACGGCUCACCAAGGCAAUGAUCGGUAGCUGGUCUGAGAGGAUGGCCAGCCACACUGGAACUGAGACACGGUCCAGACUCCUACGGGAGGCAGCAGUGGGGAAUCUUGCGCAAUGGGCGAAAGCCUGACGCAGCGACGCCGCGUGGGGGAUGAAGCUUCUCGGAGUGUAAACCCCUUUCGACUGGGACGAAUGCCCGCAAGGGAGUGACGGUACCAGUAGAAGAAGCCCCGGCUAACUACGUGCCAGCAGCCGCGGUAAGACGUAGGGGGCCAGCGUUGUUCGGAAUUACUGGGUGUAAAGGGUUCGUAGGCGGUGUGGCAAGUCGGGAGUGAAAUCUCUGGGCUUAACUCAGAGGCUGCUUCCGAAACUGCUGUGCUUGAGUGUGGGAGAGGCGCGUGGAAUUGCAGGUGUAGCGGUGAAAUGCGUAGAUAUCUGCAGGAACACCCGUGGCGAAAGCGGCGCGCUGGACCACAACUGACGCUGAGGAACGAAAGCUAGGGGAGCAAACAGGAUUAGAUACCCUGGUAGUCCUAGCCCUAAACGAUCAGGACUUGGGGUGGCGCCCGUUCGGGCGUCGUCCCGGAGCUAACGCGUUAAGUCCUGCACCUGGGGAGUACGGUCGCAGACUGAAACUCAAGGAAUUGACGGGGGCCCGCACAGCGGUGGAACAUGUGGUUCAAUUCGACGCUACGCGAGGAACCUUACCUGGGCUCGAAAUGCUUCGGA